GGCAGAGCCGCUCUUCCUCCCUGUCCCGCCAGCUCCUGCCUUCUGCUGUCUUGGAUCUCCUAUGCACGGGAAACCUGUUGAAGACGAGGUCUCACUGUGUUGCUCAAGCUGUCCUGGAAGUCCUGGACUGAAGUGAUCCUCCCACCUCGGCCUCCCAAGGUGCUGGGAUUACAGGUGUGAGCCACCAUGCCCAGCCAAAACCUUGAUUUUUCUGUCACCCCCUCCACUGCACCCUGAGAAUCACUGCUGUAAGUAGACUACUGAAGAGAGUAUGUUGAAAAUGUUCUCAUUUGGUAAGAAGUAAUUCCAACUACAUUCACGUGAUUAUGGUCUCUAAACUAAUAUGACCUAGGAGAGAGACCCUAGUGACAUUAUGUUAACCAUUUCUUAAGGACCUUAAACCCUAGUGACAUUAUGUUAACCAUUUCUUAAGGACCUUAAACCCUAGUGACAUUAUGUUAACCAUUUCUUAAGGACCUUCGCCCACUGUGCUGCUGUGGCCACAAAAGCCAUAUAAUGUUGGGUGACCUGAAUAUCAAUUAACACAGUAUUAUAAAAUCCUCUGCAUCUGCACUUUGAAAAAGCAUCACAGGGCUGGGAGCAGUGGCUCACGCCUGUAAUCCCAGCACUUUGGAAGGCCAAGACGAGUGAAUUACCUGAGGUCAGGAGUUUGAGACCGGCCUGGUCAACAUGGUGACACCCCGUGUCUACUAAAAAUACAAAAAUUAGCUGGGCAUGGUGGCAGGCGCCUGUAAUCCCAGCUACUUGGGAGGCUGAGACAGGAGAAUCACUUGAACCCGGGAGGUGGAGGUUACAGUGAGCUGAGAUCGUACCAUUGUACUCCAGUCUGGGUGACAAACUGUACUCCAGUCUGGGUGACAAGAGCAAAACUCAGUCUCAAAAAAAAAAAAGAAAGAAAAAGCAUCACAGGCCAGGAACAGUGGCUCACACCUAUAAUCCUAGUACUCUGAGAGGCCAAAGCAGGUGGAUCACUAGAGCCCAGGAGUUCAGACCAGCCUGGGCUACAUGGCGAAAUGCCAUCUCUUAAAGAAAAGGAAAGGGGAAGGGGAAAGAAAAGAAAGGAUAUGAAUAAAUUGCCUUAUUUAUUUAUAUAAAUAAAUAAAUUUCAGCAUCACAGAAAUCUGAACCCAUACCCCACAAUUAAGAACCAGUGGUUAUUUUACCCUCAUUUUAUACACCAGGAAACUAAGAUCCAGAGAGGUUAAAAUGACUUAUUAAAGAAGAUGAGAGCCUGGGCGUGGUGGCUCACGCCUGUAAUCUCAGCACUUUGGGAGGCCAAGGCGGGUGGAUCAUCUGAGGUCAGGAGUUCCACACCAGCCUGGCCAACAUGGCGAAACCCCGUCUCUACUCAAAAUACAAAAAUUAGCCGGGCGUGGUAGCAUGCACCUGUAAUCCCAGCUACCCACGAGGCUGAGGCAGGAGAAUUGCUAGAACCUGGGAGGCAGAGGCUACAGUGAGCCGAGAUUGCGCCACUGCACUCCAACCUGGGCAACAGAGCAAGACUCCAUCCCCACCAAAAAAAAAAAAAAAAAAAAGACGAUGAGAUAGUUAUUGGUGGAUCCAGGCAUCAGAUCUCCUAAAUUCCAAACAAAUGCUCUUAACUACUAUUUUGGAA
rnacentral:lncRNA from 1 species